rnacentral:lncRNA from 1 species
AGCAAUCUUUUAUCAAAAACCCUUUUCUCUCUUCUCUCUUGUCUUGGACGAGUUGAAGUGUGUCUGGUGUGUAAUAUCCAGUCUGUUGGUGUGUAAUAUCCAACGCCCAAGGGCUUUAGAGAGGUGUGUCAUAUCCGAUCUAAGCCUAGGAGUAUCAAGAAGCCUUUCCGCAGCCUCUUGUGUCACCAUUCGAUUCACAUACCUUGAGAAGCUAGAGUCUUUUGAUUCGUUUCUGCAAGGAUUAUC